rnacentral:rRNA from 1 species
UAGUCCACGCCGUAAACGAUGAUAACUAGCUGUCCGAACCCACAGGGUUUGGGUGGCGCAGCUAACGCAUUAAGUUAUCCGCCUGGGGAGUACGGUCGCAAGAUUAAAACUCAAAGGAAUUGACGGGGGGCCUGCACAAGCGGUGGAGCAUGUGGUUUAAUUCGACGCAACGCGCAGAACCUUACCAGCUUUUGACAUCCUGGUCGCGGAUUUGGGAGACCAUUUCCUUCAGUUCGGCUGGACCAGUGACAGGUGCUGCAUGGCUGUCGUCAGCUCGUGUCGUGAGAUGUUGGGUUAAGUCCCGCAACGAGCGCAACCCUCAUCCUUAGUUGCCAGCAUUUAGUUGGGCACUCUAAGGAAACUGCCGGUGAUAAGCCGGAGGAAGGUGGGGAUGACGUCAAGUCCUCAUGGCCCUUACAAGCUGGGCUACACACGUCCUACAAUGGUUGAUACAAUGGGUAGCGAAGUCGCGAGGCGGAGCCAAUCUCAUAAAGUCAGCCUC